GACGAACGCUGGCGGCGUGCCUAAUACAUGCAAGUUGAGCGCUGAAGGUUGGUCCUUGUACCCACUGGAUGAGCAGCGAACGGGUGAGUAACGCGUGGGGAAUCUGCCUUUGAGCGGGGGACAACAUUUGGAAACGAAUGCUAAUACCGCAUAAAAACUUUAAACACAAGUUUUAAGUUUGAAAGAUGCAAUUGCAUCACUCAAAGAUGAUCCCGCGUUGUAUUAGCUAGUUGGUGAGGUAAAGGCUCACCAAGGCGAUGAUACAUAGCCGACCUGAGAGGGUGAUCGGCCACAUUGGGACUGAGACACGGCCCAAACUCCUUCGGGAGGCAGCAGUAGGGAAUCUUCGGCAAUGGACGAAAGUCUGACCGAGCAACGCCGCGUGAGUGAAGAAGGUUUUCGGAUCGUAAAACUCUGUUGGUAGAGAAGAACGUUGGUGAGAGUGGAAAGCUCAUCAAGUGACGGUAACUACCCAGAAAGGGACGGCUAACUACGUG
rnacentral:rRNA from 1 species